CCUACGGGUGGCAGCAGUGGGGAAUAUUGGACAAUGGGGGCAACCCUGAUCCAGCCAUGCCGCGUGUGUGAAGAAGGCCCUCGGGUUGUAAAGCACUUUCAGUGAGGAAGAACGCCUGGUGGUUAAUACCCAUCAGGAAAGACAUCACUCACAGAAGAAGCACCGGCUAACUCCGUGCCAGCAGCCGCGGUAAUACGGAGGGUGCGAGCGUUAAUCGGAAUUACUGGGCGUAAAGCGCGCGUAGGUGGCUUGAUAAGCCGGUUGUGAAAGCCCCGGGCUCAACCUGGGAACGGCAUCCGGAACUAUCAAGCUAGAGUGCAGGAGAGGAAGGUAGAAUUCCCGGUGUAGCGGUGAAAUGCGUAGAGAUCGGGAGGAAUACCAGUGGCGAAGGCGGCCUUCUGGACUGACACUGACACUGAGGUGCGAAAGCGUGGGUAGCAAACAGGAUUAGAUACCCUGGUAGUC
rnacentral:rRNA from 1 species